CAGAGGGUGUCAGCUGUUAAAGUAAGGGCGUUAAUUGGCUAAAAAAUGGGAUCCUGUACCUUGGAAUGGAGAUGUAUGGGAGGACUCUGCUGAGAUUGAGAACUUAACACCUUUACAUUUUCAGGGGUUUACCCCACCAGUGGAAGUAGUGCCCUCAGCCCCACCCCUCGAAAUAAUGCCUUCUUCACAUGAGGACAUUAGUCCCUCAGAGUCUGACAAACUGGUGGUGACUUUCUCUGAAGAAAAUGUCAGGCAAGACAAUACUGAUGUUCCUCAACACCCACCAAUAGUUUCUUCUAGAACUAUAACCAGACUCAAGGCAAAGCAGGCCCCUAGAGAGGAGGUAGAAAGUGUAGUCCAUGAGGAAAUGUGAUACACUACUAAGGAGCUUAAUGAGUUUCUAAUUCAUUCAAGCAGAAGUCUGGGGAAUGUGUGUGGGAAUGGAUUUUAAGGACGUGGGAUAAUGGUGGAAGGAACAUAAAACUAGACCAGCCUGAGUUUAUUGACGUGGGCCCUCAGACUAGAGAUUCUAGGUUUAAUGUGGAAGCUCAUGUAGCUAAAAAAA
rnacentral:lncRNA from 1 species